AACGCGAAGAACCUUACCUAGUCUUGACAUCCCUCUGAUCGGACAGUAAUGUGUCCUUCCCUUCGGGGCAGAGGAGACAGGUGGUGCAUGGUUGUCGUCAGCUCGUGUCGUGAGAUGUUGGGUUAAGUCCCGCAACGAGCGCAACCCCUAUUUUUAGUAGCCAGCAUUUUGGAUGGGCACUCUAGAGAGACUGCCAGGGAUAACCUGGAGGAAGGCGGGGAUGACGUCAAAUCAUCAUGCCCCUUAUGACUAGGGCUACACACGUGCUACAAUGGUGACAACAAAGUGAAGCAGCGCCGUGAGGCUGAGCAAAUCACAAAAAAGUCAUCUCAGUUCGGAUUGUAGUCUGCAACUCGACUACAUGAAGCUGGAAUCGCUAGUAAUCGCAAAUCAGAAUGUUGCGGUGAAUACGUUCCCGGGUCUUGUACACACCG
rnacentral:rRNA from 1 species